CCACAGGUUCCUUUAGGAACCAUCAACAGUGCCAGAAGUAAAUUC
rfam:Tyto alba contig57732, whole genome shotgun sequence.